rnacentral:tRNA from 1 species
UGGCCUGGUGGCUCAGUUGGUUAGAGCGCCGCCCUGUCACGGCGGAGGUCGUCGGUUCAAGUCCGAUCCGGGUCGU